rnacentral:rRNA from 1 species
CCGCUGAGGGGGUCUUUUGUCAGCUGUAAAUAGGCAGGCGAAUAAGGGGAGGGCAAGCCUGGUGUCAGCCGCCGCGGUAAUACCAGCUCCUCGAGUGGUCGGGGCGAUUAUUGGGCCUAAAGCAUCCGUAGCCGGUUCCGUAGGUCCUCUGUUAAAUCCAACCGCUUAACGGUUGACCUGCAGAGGAUACCGCGGGACUAGGAGGCGGGAGAGGCGGACGGUACUCCGCGUGUAGGGGUAAAAUCCUUUGAUCCGCGGAAGACCACCAGUGGCGAAGGCGGUCCGCCAGAACGCGCUCGACGGUGAGGGAUGAAAGCUGGGGGAGCGAACCGGAUUAGAUACCCGGGUAGUCCCAGCCGUAAACGAUGCUAGCUAGAUGAUUCAUUCGCAAGUCGCGAAUGAAGUGUCGCAGGGAAACCGUUAAGCUAGCCGCCUGGGGAGUACGGUCGCAAGACUGAAACUUAAAGGAAUUG